rnacentral:rRNA from 1 species
UACGUAGGGCGCAAGCGUUAUCCGGAAUUAUUGGGCGUAAAGAGCUCGUAGGCGGUUUGUCGCGUCUGCUGUGAAAACCCGAGGCUCAACCUCGGGCCGCAGUGGGUACGGGCAGACUAGAGUGCGGUAGGGGAGAUUGGAAUUCCUGGUGUAGCGGUGGAAUGCGCAGAUAUCAGGAGGAACACCAAUGGCGAAGGCAGAUCUCUGGGCCGUAACUGACGCUAAGGAGCGAAAGCAUGGGGAGCGAACAGG